GAUGAACGCUGGCGGCGUGCCUAACACAUGCAAGUCGAGCGAACAGAUGAGGAGCUUGCUCCUUUGACGUUAGCGGCGGACGGGCGAGUAACACGUGGAUAACCUACCUAUAAGACUGGGAUAACUUCGGGAAACCGGAGCCAAUACCGGAUAAUACAUCGAACCGCAUGGUUCAAUAGUGAAAGACGCCUUUCCCGUCACUUAGAGAUGGAUCCGCGCCGCAUUAGCUAGUUGGUAAGGUAACGGCUUACCAAGGCAACGAUGCGUAGCCGAUCUGAGAGGGUGAUCGGCCACACUGGAACUGAGACACGGUCCAGACUCCUACGGGAGGCAGCAGUAGGGAAUCUUCCACAAUGGGCGAAAGCCUGACGGAGCAAUACCGCGUGAGUGAUGAAGGUCUUCGGGUCGUAAAGCUCUGUUAUUAGGAAAGAACAAAUGUAUAAGUAACUAUGCACGUCUUGACGGUACCUAAACAGAAAGCCACGGCUAACUUCGUG
rnacentral:rRNA from 1 species